AUUGAACGCUGGCGGCAGGCUUAACACAUGCAAGUCGAACGAGUGGCGGACGGGUGAGUAAUGCUUGGGAAUCUAGCUUAUGGAGGGGGAUAACUACGGGACACUGUAGCUAAUACCGCGUACUAUAGGAUGCGCCCAAGUGGGUUGGGGUAGGUGGUGAGGAAAAGGCUCACCAGGCCGACGCCCUCUAGCUGGUCUGAGGGGAUGACCAGCCACACGGGGACUGGGACCCGGCCCAGAGCCCUAGGGGGGGCAGCAGUGGGAAUAAUUGCGAAUGGGGGGAAACCUGACGCACCCAGGCCGCGUGAAUGAAGAAGGCCUUGGGGUUGUAAAGUUCUUUCGCUAGCGAGACGUUCACGAAGGAAGAAGCACCGGCUACCCCCGUGCCAGCAGCCGCGUUAAUC
rnacentral:rRNA from 1 species